rnacentral:rRNA from 1 species
UACGUAGGGUGCGAGCGUUGUCCGGAAUUAUUGGGCGUAAAGAGCUUGUAGGCGGUUUGUCGCGUCUGCUGUGAAAAUCCGGGGCUCAACCCCGGACUUGCAGUGGGUACGGGGCAGACUGGAGUGUGGUAGGGGAGACUGGAAUUCCUGGUGUAGCGGUGGAAUGCGCAGAUAUCAGGAGGAACACCGAUGGCGAAGGCAGGUCUCUGGGCCACUACUGACGCUGAGAAGCGAAAGCAUGGGGAGCGAACAGG